GGUUGCAGAGUCUCAGAUUGGGGUGGGCAAGAGCACCUACCCUGGGAGACCUGGAGGAACAAGUUCUUGGAGGAGCCCAGGUAACUGAAACCAGGGAAAGCAAACCACAGAAAAGAGGGGAUUGACUGCUCUACAAGUCUGCAGAGAAAGAGAGACUCGUGUCCUGGAAACUCUGUUGAAGUUCCAGCAUCUACUCUGAUUCGACUACCUUAGGUCGUGGCCCAUCUCUGAAGCGCCCACUGCCGCUCAAGGAAGGCCAUGGUCUGAUUGUCCAGGCCUGGUCACACACAUGUUGAGGGAGGGACAGCGUCAGCUGAACUUCAGGGACUGAACGUGGGCAAGUGUUUUAUUGUUUUAGUUGUUCAUGCUAUCAAACCUACAGAAAAGUUGGACAGACACAAAAAGAGCAAAAAACACCUAUAUAUACACCUAUGUACCCUUUACCGGAUCUGUUGUUAACACUUUAUAUCGUCA